CUUCAGCGAACCCAGCAGCAGCGGCCGUUCCCGCUGCUGGCCGUACGUGGCGAGCAGGGCCUGCGCCUC
rnacentral:antisense_RNA from 1 species